AUAUCAAUAAGCGGAGGAAAAGAAACCAACCGGGAUUGCCCUAGUAACGGCGAGCGAAGCGGCAAAAGCUCAAAUUUGAAAUCUGGCGUCCUUCGGGCGUCCGAGUUGUAAUUUGGAGAUGGUAACUUUGGAGUCGGUUCUUGCAUAUGUUCCUUGGAACAGGACGUCAUAGAGGGUGAGAAUCCCGUUCAUGGCGAGAGUCCCGAUUCUUUGUAUAGUGCCGUCGAAGAGUCGAGUUGUUUGGGAAUGCAGCUCUAAGUGGGUGGUAAAUUCCAUCUAAAGCUAAAUAUUGGCGAGAGACCGAUAGCGAACAAGUACAGUGAUGGAAAGAUGAAAAGAACUUUGAAAAGAGAGUGAAAAAGUACGUGAAAUUGUUGAAAGGGAAGGGCUUGAAAUCAGACUUGGUAUUCAGUGAUCAACUGUCUUUUGGGACUGUGCACUCGCUGUUUACUGGGCCAACAUCGGUUUAGGCGGUGAGAUAAUGACAAUUGAACGUGGCUCUGCCUUCGGGUUGGAGUGUUAUAGCUUUUGUUGAUAUCACCAGCUUGGACCGAGGACUGCGCUUCGGCUAGGAUGUUGGCGUAAUGAUUUCAAGCCAC
rnacentral:rRNA from 1 species